CCUACGGGAGGCAGCAGUGGGGAAUAUUGGACAAUGGGCGAAAGCCUGAUCCAGCCAUGCCGCGUGUGUGAAGAAGGCCUUCGGGUUGUAAAGCACUUUCAGUGGGGAAGAAAGCCUUGGGGCUAAUACCCUCGAGGAAGGACAUCACCCACAGAAGAAGCACCGGCUAACUCCGUGGCCAGCAGCCGCGGUAAUACGGAGGGUGCGAGCGUUAAUCGGAAUUACUGGGCGUAAAGCGCGCGUAGGCGGUCUGAUAAGCCGGUUGUGAAAGCCCCGGGCUCAACCUGGGAACGGCAUCCGGAACUGUCAGGCUAGAGUGCAGGAGAGGAAGGUAGAAUUCCCGGUGUAGCGGUGAAAUGCGUAGAGAUCGGGAGGAAUACCAGUGGCGAAGGCGGCCUUCUGGACUGACACUGACGCUGAGGUGCGAAAGCGUGGGUAGCAAACAGGAUUAGAUACCCCGGUAGUC
rnacentral:rRNA from 1 species